UCAAAUGAAAUACUAAUUAAUCUAACAUUCUAUGAAUAAAAUAUAUAGUUUUCUAAAAUAUGAUAGUUUUGGUGGUGAUGGUCAAUGGGUGAAUGCCGACUAGAGGCGGUGGUUGGUGGUAAUUUUGGUUGAUAAUGGUGGUUCAUGCUAGUAGCCAGUAGUGUUGGUAGUGGUGGCGAUUAUGAUUGAGGAUGAUGGUGGUCAUAGUUAAUAAUAGCGGAUGAUGGUAGUAGUUGUGACCGAGGAAGGUGAUGAAUAGAUGGUGGUAGGUAUAAUGAUGUGUAGUACCAGCUGUGGUUGUUGAUGGUGAUGGGGUGGUUAGUUGUGAUAGUUGAG
rnacentral:lncRNA from 1 species